CCUACGGGAGGCAGCAGUGAGGAAUAUUGGUCAAUGGCCGGAAGGCUGAACCAGCCAAGCCGCGUGAAGGACGAAGGUGCCAAGCAUUGUAAACUUCUUUUGUCAAGGGACAAAAUCAGGCUCGAAAGCCUGACCGAGGGUACUUGAAGAAAAAGCAUCGGCUAACUCCGUGCCAGCAGCCGCGGUAAUACGGAGGAUCAGAGCGUUAUCCGGAUUUAUUGGGUUUAAAGGGACGGUAGUUGGAUUUUUAAGUAAGUUGUGAAAGUUUUCGGCUCAACCGGAAAAGGGCAGUUGAAACUGGCAGUCUUGAGUACAGUAGAGGUGGGCGGAAUUCGUGGUGUAGCGGUGAAAUGCUUAGAUAUCACGAAGAACUCCGAUUGCGAAGGCAGUUCACUGGACUGCAACUGACACUGAGGCUCGAAAGUGUGGGUAUCAAACAGGAUUAGAUACCCUUGUAGUC
rnacentral:rRNA from 1 species